rnacentral:piRNA from 1 species
UCUGGGAACAGAAAAGAUCCGUGCUUACCAA